CACUAGUGAUUGGUGUUCUUCCCGAUAUCUACACAUUCCACCGUUACACCGGGAAUUCCAGUCUCCCCUACCGCACUCAAGCCCGCCCGUACCCGGCGCGGAUCCACCGUUAAGCGAUGGACUUUCACACCGGACGCGACGAACCGCCUACGAGCCCUUUACGCCCAAUAAUUCCGGAUAACGCUUGCACCCUACGUAUUACCGCGGCUGCUGGCACGUAGUUAGCCGGUGCUUAUUCGAAAGGUACACUCACCCGAAGGCUUGCUCCCGAUCAAAAGCGGUUUACAACCCGAAGGCCGUCAUCCCGCACGCGGCGUCGCUGCAUCAGGCUUGCGCCCAUUGUGCAAUAUUCCCCACUGCUGCCUCCCGUAGGAGUCUGGGCCGUAUCUCAGUCCCAAUGUGGCCGGUCGCCCUCUCAGGCCGGCUACCCGUCGUAGGCUCGGUGGGCCGUUACCCCGCCGACUACCUGAUAGGACGCGACCCCAUCCCAUACCGAUGAAAUCUUUCCAGACCACCAUGCGAUGGACUGGAGCAUCCGGCAUUACCACCCGUUUCAGGAGAAUCGAAUUC
rnacentral:rRNA from 1 species